GCACUCUAAGGAGACUGCCGGUGACAAACCGGAGGAAGGUGGGGAUGACGUCAAGUCAUCAUGGCCCUUACGGCCAGGGCUACACACGUGCUACAAUGGUCGGUACAAAGGGUUGCCAAGCCGCGAGGUGGAGCUAAUCCCAUAAAACCGAUCGUAGUCCGGAUCGCAGUCUGCAACUCGACUGCGUGAAGUCGGAAUCGCUAGUAAUCGUGAAUCAGAAUGUCACGGUGAAUACGUUCCCGGGCCUUGUACACACCGCCCGUCACACCAUGGGAGUGGGUUGCUCCAGAAGUAGCUAGUCUAA
rnacentral:rRNA from 1 species